rnacentral:rRNA from 1 species
UAGCCUUGACAUUGAUUGAACACACUAGAGAUAGAGUGGUGCCCUUCGGGGAACAUGAAAACAGGUGCUGCACGGCUGUCGUCAGCUCGUGUCGUGAGAUGUUGGGUUAAGUCCCGCAACGAGCGCAACCCUCGUCCUUAGUUGCUAGCAGUUCGGCUGAGCACUCUAAGGAGACUGCCUUCGUAAGGAGGAGGAAGGUGAGGACGACGUCAAGUCAUCAUGGCCCUUAUGGCUAGGGCUACACACGUGCUACAAUGGGGCGUACAGAUUGUUGCGAUACCGCGAGGUGGAGCUAAUCACUUAAAGCGUCUCUCAGUUCGGAUUGGAGUCUGCAACUCGACUCCAUGAAGCUGGAAUCACUAGUAAUCGUAGAUCAGCAAUGCUACGGUGAAUACGUUCCCGGGUCU